GUAUUACCUGGAUGGUAGCUUUGUCGUAAAAUGUCUCGCGGUAUACGCAUGCGCGAAACCAGUGCUCACUGCUCAUUCGGCCGCUGAUCGGGCAGCGACAAACCAAUACAAAGCACCAUUUUGGAAAGACUGAGAAAUUUUGUACGGCACUCAUAUUACAAUUAAAAAAAGAUCAAAAAGCGCGAGACUCCGUUGUCUUUCCAAAGAGAAACGAAUAUCCAGACUUUCGGUGAGAAGAUUGAAAAUCUCUCCACAUUGCUUUGCUGAUGCAACUGAGGAUGAUUGUCUUUAAGUUGGAACAGAAGACUACAUCCACAUAAGAAUACAGAAACUGAACAGCAAGAAAACAGUCUACUGUUCAGAGAACAGCUGAUGACUAUGACAGUAAGAAAUGGUCAAGGCCUUUAAGAAGAUCAUCUUUCACCAAG